AUGCUUACCUGGUAGGAGGAAUAUCAUGUUCAAGAAUGUAGUUUCACCAGGUUAAAGUUCUGCCUCUGUACACUUUUGUUGGAGUGAUGCAAGUGAUUUCCCCAAAUGUGGAAAACUCAAUCGCCUAAUUUAUGGUAGUGGGUUACUGCAUUUGCUUGGUCCCC